rnacentral:rRNA from 1 species
GUCGAGAAUAAUUCACAAUGGGGGAAACCCUGAUGGUGCAACGCCGCGUGGAGGAUGAAGGUCUUCGGAUUGUAAACUCCUGUCAUCUGGGAGUAAGACCUGACGGUGAAUAGCCGGCAGGGUUGAUAGUACCAGAAGAGGAAGGGACGGCUAACUUCGUGCCAGCAGCCGCGGUAAUACGAAGGUCCCAAGCGUUGUUCGGAAUCACUGGGCGUAAAGGGAGCGUAGGCGGCGUGGUAAGUCAGAUGUGAAAUCCCGGGGCUCAACCCCGGAACGGCAUCCGAUACUGCCGUGCUAGAGGGUUGGAGAGGUGACUGGAAUUCUCGGUGUAGCAGUGAAAUGCGUGGAUAUCGAGAGGAACACUCGUGGCGAAGGCGAGUCACUGGACAACAUCUGACGCUGAGGCUCGAAGGCCAGGGGAGCAAAAGGGAUUAGAUACCCUUGUAGUCC